CCCCCCCCCCCCCCCCACACCGCCCUCAGCGAGCGCCGCCGCCGCGGGGGCUUCGCCCGCUGCCCGCCGAGGGGCGGCUGUGGCGGCGGCCGCACGGCCCCGGAACGGGAAGCGCUGCGGGGGCCGAGCGGAGGCAGCGGGCGAGGAAGAACCGCCCCCUCCCCCCCAGACACGGCUUAGCCGGGCCGGCCCCGCGCGCGCCGCCGCUACCGCCUCGCGCCCCCCCUCCCUUUAUGGCCGCCCCUCACCCGCCCCCCUCACGCCCUUGGCCAUGGCCGGGCCCUCCCGGAGAACGGCAGCGGCGCCGGGAAGAGGAGGAGGAAGAGGAGGAGGUGGAGUCGCAUGGAUUCAAGAGCUCGGGCUCCAAGAGACGCAAUAAGCGAUUGUGCUAUGAGUCUUGGCAGCGCCAAAUCCGUGAGCAGAGGCUGGUGCAAACGGGAGAGUACAGGGCUACACCUCUUUAACUCAUCUCAGGUUGUGUUAAUUGUGGAUCGCACCAUCUCACGAAGAAAGAGGGCCUGAGUUCAGGAGCUGCGCUUUCCUGUGACCUCGGGUAAAGCAGUUCCCUUUACACUGCUGUAUUUUGACUGUUGUUACAAUGAAAAUAAAGAUACCUUUUCUCUUUUCAAGCACUGAGUAAGAGCCUCAAUGCAUUGGUGUGGAUUAAUUCUUUGGAGUCUGUUCUCUUCCUCACUUCUUUUUGAAAACAAGGUCAAGAUACCUUGAGACCAUAGGAGAAAAAACUCGUGCAUGAAUUCGACUUAUUUUACAUUGGAUACGGCCUAUCCUUAACCAAAAUACUAACAGCAUUUACAUGGAUAUUUUAUGUUGCUUCAAAUUUUUCUGGAAAAUUUACGGUCACUUUGUGACACAAUAAAGAUUUUUUGAGUAGAUCAGACCAGAGCAAGGCAACACUGGAUCAGUUACCGGGUGUGAAUUGUUCUACGGUAACAGCACUCUUGGAAGCAGCUGCUUUUGGGAGCAGGUAAGAGACUUCUGGUCACAGCACCUGUAUGUUCUGCCCAUUUGGAUGGAGCUGUUCAAGGAAGGACUGCUGCUAACCCUCGUUUGUGCCAUUUGUGCCAUUUGGAUGGAGCUGUUGAAGGAAGGGCUGUUGCUCACCCUCGUUUGUGCCAUUUGGAUGGAGCUGUUCAAGGAAUGACUGUUGCUAACCCUCGUUUGUGCCAUUUGGAUGGAGCUGUUCAAGGAAUGACUGUUGCUAACCCUCGUUUGUGCCAUUUGGAUGGAGCUGUUCAAGGAAGGGCUGUUGCUCACCCUCGUUUGUGCCAUUUGGAUGGAGCUGUUGAAGGAAGGGCUGUUGCUAACCCUCGUUUGUGCCAUUUGGAUGGAGCUGUUCAAGGAAUGACUGUUGCUCACCCUCGUUUGUGCCAUUUGGAUGGAGCUGUUCAAGGAAGGGCUGUUGCUCACCCUCGUUUGUGCCAUUUGGAUGGAGCUGUUGAAGGAAGGGCUGUUGCUAACCCUCGUUUGUGCCAUUUGGAUGGAGCUGUUCAAGGAAUGACUGU